AGGGCACCACCAGGAGUGGAGCCUGCGGCUUAAUUUGACUCAACACGGGAAAACUCACCCGGCCCGGACACUGGAAGGAUUGACAGAUUGAGAGCUCUUUCUUGAUUCAGUGGGUGGUGGUGCAUGGCCGUUCUUAGUUGGUGGAGUGAUUUGUCUGGUUAAUUCCGAUAACGAACGAGACUCUAGCCUAUUAAAUAGAUCGUUGGCUUACAAACGCCGGCGAGACUUCUUAGAGGGACAGGCGGCGAUUCAGCCGCACGAAACAGAGCAAUAACAGGUCUGUGAUGCCCUUAGAUGUCCGGGGCCGCACGUGCGCUACACUGGAGUGAUCAGCGUGCAUUUUGAAACCUACUCUGUCGAGAGUGGGGAACCCAAUGAACCUUCUUCGUGAUUGGGAUAGGGGAUUGUAAUUAUUCCCCUUGAACGAGGAAUUCCCAGUAAGCGCGAAUCAUAAGUUUGCGCUGAUUACGUCCCUGCCCUUUGUACACACCGCCCGUCGCUACUACCGAUUGAAUGUUU
rnacentral:rRNA from 1 species